AUUGAACGCUGGCGGAAUGCUUUACACAUGCAAGUCGAACGGCAGCACGGACUUCGGUCUGGUGGCGAGUGGCGAACGGGUGAGUAAUGUAUCGGAACGUGCCCAGUCGUGGGGGAUAACGUAGUGAAAAUUACGCUAAUACCGCAUACGAUCUAUGGAUGAAAGCGGGGGAUCGCAAGACCUUGCGCGGUUCGAGCGGCCGAUAUCAGAUUAGGUAGUUGGUGGGGUAAAGGCCCCCCAAGCCAACGAUCUGUAGCUGGUCUGAGAGGACGACCAGCCACACUGGAACUGAGACACGGUCCAGACUCCUACGGGAGGCAGCAGUGGGGAAUUUUGGACAAUGGGCGAAAGCCUGAUCCAGCCAUUCCGCGUGCAGGAUGAAGGCCCUCGGGUUGUAAACUGCUUUUGUACAGAACGAAAAGGUUUCUACUAAUACUAGGAGCUCAUGACGGUACUGUAAGAAUAAGCACCGGCUAACUACGUGCCAGCCGCCGCGGUAA
rnacentral:rRNA from 1 species